GUUGGCAGCUAGCUCUCUGCAACUCUCACAUGGUCAUCCACAGAAGCUAAGCAGGGCUGCCUGCAGGGUCAGUACCUGGAUGGGAGACCUUAUGGGAAAUCUAGGUUGCUGCCGGAG
ensembl:rRNA 5S_rRNA 5S ribosomal RNA